UACAGAGGUCCCCAAGCGUUGUUCGGAUUCAUUGGGCGUAAAGGGUGCGUAGGCGGCGCGGUAAGUCGGGUGUGAAAUCUCGGGGCUUAACUCCGAAACUGCAUUCGAUACUGCCGUGCUUGAGGACUGGAGAGGAGACUGGAAUUUACGGUGUAGCGGUGAAAUGCGUAGAUAUCGUAAGGAAGACCAGUGGCGAAGGCGGGUCUCUGGACAGUUCCUGACGCUGAGGCACGAAAGCUAGGGGAGCAAACAGG
rnacentral:rRNA from 1 species